rnacentral:rRNA from 1 species
CCUACGGGAGGCUGCAGUGGGGAAUAUUGGGCAAUGGGCGCAAGCCUGACCCAGCAAUGCCGCGUGAAGGAAGAAGGCUUUCGGGUUGUAAACUUCUUUGACAGGGGAAGAGCAGAAGACGGUACCCUGAAAACAAGCCACGGCUAACUACGUGCCAGAAGCCGCGGUAAUACGUAGGUGGCAAGCGUUGUCCGGAUGUGCUGGGUGUAAAGGGCGUGUAGCCGGGAAUGCAAGUCAGAUGUGAAAUCUGGAGGCUCAACCUCCAAAUUGCAUUUGAAACUGUUUUUCUUGAGUACUGGAGAGGCAGACGGAAUUCCUGGUGUAGCGGUGAAAUGCGUAGAUAUAAGGAGGAACACCAGUGGCGAAGGCGGUCUGCUGGACAGCAACUGACGGUGAGGCGCGAAAGCGUGGGGAGCAAACAGGAUUAGAUACCCCUGUAGUC